rnacentral:rRNA from 1 species
UACGGAGGGUGCGAGCGUUGUCCGGAAUCACUGGGCGUAAAGGGCGCGUAGGUGGCGCGGGCAGUCAACGGUGAAAGUUCGGGGCUCAACCCUGAAUCGGCCGUCGAUACUCCCGGGCUUGAGCACUGUAGAGGCAGAUGGAAUUCCGGGUGUAGCGGUGGAAUGCGUAGAGAUCCGGAAGAACACCGGUGGCGAAGGCGGUCUGCUGGGCAGUAGCUGACACUGAGCGCGACAGCGUGGGGAGCAACAGG